rnacentral:rRNA from 1 species
UAAGGAAUAUUGGUCAAUGGACGCAAGUCUGAACCAGCCAUGCCGCGUGAAGGAUGAAGGUCCUCUGGAUUGUAAACUUCUUUUAUAUGGGACGAAACCUCUUUUUCUUGAGAGACUGACGGUACCAUAGGAAUAAGCACCGGCUAACUCCGUGCCAGCAGCCGCGGUAAUACGGAGGGUGCAAGCGUUAUCCGGAUUCACUGGGUUUAAAGGGAGCGUAGGAGGGCAGGUAAGUCAAAGGUGAAAUCCCUCGGCUC